rnacentral:rRNA from 1 species
AUGACAGAGGCAGCAACAUUUCAGAUGCCUUCUGCUCUUAGACGGUUGUUUGCAACUAUUCUGGUAUUCUGUGAGGCAAAAGAAAUUCGUCAGUUGUGGGACAAACACCUAGCAUCGAUGUCUGAAGAUUACCACCGUACUCAAUCGAAUGAGGCAGCACUUGAGCAGAUGGUCCUUAGGGAUAUCAGGGAUCUGAUGCAGUCCAUGGGAAAUGAUAUUAAAAUGUAUGGGCUUCCGGAUCUGGUUGGCAGAGACGGUUCUUCUGAUGCCGAGUAUAGGGAGGUAACAGAGGAGAGGCAAGUCAAAGCAGAUCAAGAACAUCUAGAUCUAUUCAACUGCCUGAACAAUGAGCAACUGGCUGGUUUCAAUGACAUAAUAGAUCAUGUGGCGAACCAAAAAAGCCAGAUAUUCUUUGUUGAUGGUCCUGGAGGCACUGGGAAGACGUACUUGUACAAGGCAUUACUUGCGAGGGUCCGUUCGAUGGGCCUAAUAGCGACCGCAACUGCUACAUCAGGUAUUGCAGCGUCGAUAAUGCCUGGAGGCCGAACUGCACACUCCAGGUUCAAAAUUCCAAUCAAGCUCACUGACAAAAGCAUGUGUAGUUUCACAAAGCAGAGUGGUACGGCAAAGUUGCUUAAACAGGCAGUUGAGACGCUUGACAAAUCGCUACAGGAUAUAAUGGAAUGUCCUCUACCGUUUGGUGGAAAGGUUGUCGUCUUUGGUGGGGAUUUCAGGCAGGUCCUCCUCGUUGUGACCCGAGGGACAAGAGCACAGAUCACGGAUGCUACACUUUUGAGAUCCUAUUUGUGGGAGAAGAUCCGCAAGAUAUGCCUCACGCGUAAUAUGCGAGCACAAGCAGACCCUUGGUUCUCCGAAUACCUCCUUAGGAUAGGCGAUGGAAUGGAAGAAACAAUUGGCGACGACUAUGAGCGUCUCCCUGAAGACAUUGUGAUUGCUUAUACCGAGGAUGAAGAACCUAUUAACAAGCUCAUCGAAGAUGUCUUCCCAUCCCUGCACACCAAUGCUAUGUCGAGAGAGUAUAUGAGCACACGUGCAAUCCUCUCGACCAAAAACGAGCAUGUGGAUGACCUGAAUGAGAAGAUGAUCUCCAGGUUUCCGGUCAAAGAAAAGGUGUACCAUAGCUUUGACUCUAUCGAGGAUGACUUCCAGAAUAAUUACACGAUUGAUUUGCUGAACUCGCUCACACCAAGCGGGUUGCCCCCCGCAUGUGUUGAGAGUAAAAAUGAACUGCCCGGUCAUUUUGCUACGGAACCUUGA